CGGUAGAGACUCAAGAAACGAGCCAGAACAGAGAAAAUAGUACGAAAGAGUAGCACAUCAACAGUUCGAUCGGUCACCAAAAGAAAAAAAUUGAAGUUCGUGGAGAUUGAAGAAACGAGCCAAGAACCCAGAAGAUAAGAGAGAGAGAGAGAGAGAGAGAGAGCUCCGGGGAUCUGAUGGAGAAAAACGAACACCAGAAAACGCCAAGGAACACCUGGGAGUCGAAGAUCUGCCAGAGGGAACUCCGGGGUGCAGAGAUCGACGCCCGAGUAAAACUUUCGUUGAAUAUCCAACAACUUUCUCUGUUGGUAUUCAUUUCGUUCUCAAUGAGAUCCUCCUCUCUGUUUCUUUUAUCAUUGGGAUCCGCUGGGGUUUCUUGCCCACACGUUGGGGGACGGGACGUCUUUCCCCGAUUUCUUUUCCCGUCGGAUGGCUUGGUUUCAACCGAAUGAGCGAUCUGUCAUACGGGUUUCACCUCCGAGUUCGACCUCUUGUGCAGAUCAGGUUUGCUUUUCUUUGGUAAGAAUGGGUUCUGUGAUUGUAUAUCUGGUGAUCCAACCACAGUAAAAUUAGGCCCAGUUGGUGUGUGAUUCCCUUUGUUUGUUUCCAACCGUUCAUUUAUGAUUGGCAUAUCUGAUAAGUCAUUGUUCUCCGUCAUAUGAGAAAGACAACCUCGAUAGUUAUCAUCUCCGUAAACGUCAAUUUGCUUUGGUUAAUUAUUUAUCGCUCAUGGUUGCGGUAAGUCUGUCACUCCUGUAAGUUUCAAACAAUAGGGUUCUAUCGUAUCAUUUCAUUAUGUCA